rnacentral:rRNA from 1 species
UACGGAGGGUGCGAGCGUUGUCCGGAAUCAUUGGGCGUAAAGGGUGCGUAGGUGGCGGGGUAAGUUGGAUGUGAAAUCUCGGGGCUCAACCCCGAAACUGCAUUCAAUACUGCUCUGCUCGAGUACUGGAGAGGAGAUCGGAAUUUACGGUGUAGCAGUGAAAUGCGUAGAUAUCGUAAGGAAGACCAGUGGCGAAGGCGGAUCUCUGGACAGUUACUGACACUGAGGCACGAAGGCCAGGGGAGCAAACGGG